rnacentral:rRNA from 1 species
ACUUACGGCCAUACCACCCUGAGAAUGCCCGAUGUUGUCUGAUCUUGAAAGCUAAGCAGAGUCAGGCCCUGUUAGUACUUAGAUGGGAGACCACCUAGGAAUACCAGGUGCUGUAGGCU